rnacentral:rRNA from 1 species
AACGAACGCUGGCGGCAUGCCUAACACAUGCAAGUCGAACGAGAUCUUCGGGUCUAGUGGCGCACGGGUGCGUAACGCGUGGGAAUCUGCCCUUUGGUUCGGAAUAACAGUUGGAAACGACUGCUAAUACCGGAUGAUGACGAAAGUCCAAAGAUUUAUCGCCAGAGGAUGAGCCCGCGUAGGAUUAGCUAGUUGGUGUGGUAAAGGCGCACCAAGGCGACGAUCCUUAGCUGGUCUGAGAGGAUGAUCAGCCACACUGGGACUGAGACACGGCCCAGACUCCAACGGGAGGCAGCAGUGGGGAAUAUUGGACAAUGGGCGAAAGCCUGAUCCAGCGAUGCCGCGUGAGUGAUGAAGGCCUUAGGGUUGUAAAGCUCUUUUACCCGGGAUGAUAAUGACAGUACCGGGAGAAUAAGCUCCGGCUAACUCCGUGCCAGCAGCCGCAGUAA